rnacentral:rRNA from 1 species
GGGUUGUGAGGUUAAGCGACUAAGCGUACACGGUGGAUGCCCUGGCAGUCAGAGGCGAUGAAGGGCGUGCUCAUGGUCGGUAGUCGCCUGCAGGGUGGUAUUAACC